GAGCUGGCUCCUUUGACGUUAGCGGCGGACGGGGGAGUAACACGUGGGGUAACCUACCUAUAAGACCGGGGAAAACUCCGGGAAACCGGAGCUAAUACCGGAUAACAUUGGGAACCGCAGGGUUCCUAAAGUGAAAGAGGGUUUUCGCUAUCACUUAAUAGAUGGACCCGCGCCGUAUUAGCUAGUUCGGUAAGGUAACGGCUUAACCAAGGCGACGAUACGUAGCCGACCUGAGAGGGUGAUCGGCCACACUGGAACUGAGACACGGUCCAGACUCCUACGGGAGGCAGCAGUAGGGAAUCUUCCGCAAUGGGCGAAAGCCUGACGGAGCAACGCCGCGUGAGUGAUGAAGGGUUUCGGCUCGUAAAACUCUGUUAUUAGGGAAGAACAAACGUGUAAGUAACUGUGCAUGUCUUGACGGUACCUAAUCAGAAAGCCACGGCUAACUACGUGCCAGCAGCCGCGGUAAUACGUAGGUGGCAAGCGUUAUCCGGAAUUAUUGGGCGUAAAGCGCGCGUAGGCGGUUUCUUAAGUCUGAUGUGAAAGCCCACGGCUCACCCGUGGAGGGUCAUUGGAAACU
rnacentral:rRNA from 1 species